rnacentral:rRNA from 1 species
UACGGAGGGGGCUAGCGUUGUUUGGAAUUACUGGGCGUAAAGCGCACGUAGGCGGCUUUGUAAGUUAGAGGUGAAAGCCCGGGGCUCAACUCCGGAAUUGCCUUUAAAACUGCAUCGCUAGAAUUGUGGAGAGGUAAGUGGAAUUCCGAGUGUAGAGGUGAAAUUCGUAGAUAUUCGGAAGAACACCAGUGGCGAAGGCGACUUACUGGACACAUAUUGACGCUGAGGUGCGAAAGCGUGGGGAGCAAACAGG